rnacentral:rRNA from 1 species
UACAGAGGUCUCAAGCGUUGUUCGGAUUCAUUGGGCGUAAAGGGUGCGUAGGCGGCGCGGUAAGUCGGGUGUGAAAUCUUGGAGCUUAACUCCGAAACUGCAUUCGAUACUGCCGUGCUUGAGGACUGGAGAGGAGACUGGAAUUUACGGUGUAGCGGUGAAAUGCGUAGAUAUCGUAAGGAAGACCAGUGGCGAAGGCGGGUCUCUGGACAGUUCCUGACG